AUGGAGUUUUUUACAGCAUCCCGAGGCCGAGGACCUCUUCCUCCCGCAUUUAAGAAAAAACCACUCAACAAUCAAAUCGAUGACAGUUUAAAGCAUGCCGCUGAAAUGUUGGAACAGGACUUCAGCCAUAAUACAAACAAUAUAGUCGAGGAAAUCAUCAUACCAAGCAGUGAGAGGAAGGACGGUGGUGUUCGUUCUAAACGCUACUCCACUCAACACAGUCCGCCUAUGAAGAGUUAUCCACAAACACA